GAUGAACGCUGGCGGCGUGCCUAAUACAUGCAAGUCGAGCGAACAGACGAGGAGCUUGCUCCUCUGACGUUAGCGGCGGACGGGUGAGUAACACGUGGAUAACCUACCUAUAAGACUGGGAUAACUUCGGGAAACCGGAGCUAAUACCGGAUAAUAUAUUGAACCGCAUGGUUCAAUAGUGAAAGACGGUUUUGCUGUCACUUAUAGAUGGAUCCGCGCCGCAUUAGCUAGUUGGUAAGGUAACGGCUUACCAAGGCAACGAUGCGUAGCCGACCUGAGAGGGUGAUAGGCCACACUGGAACUGAGACACGGUCAAGACUCCUACGGGAGGCAGCAGUAGGGAAUCUUACGCAAUGGGCGAAAGCAUGACGGAGCAACGCCGCGUGAGUGAUGAAGGUCUUCGGAUCGUAAAACUCUGUUAUUAGGGAAGAACAAAUGUGUAAGUAACUAUGCACGUCUUGACGGUACCUAAUCAGAAAGCCACGGCUAACUACGUG
rnacentral:rRNA from 1 species